GCUUACGGCCCACACCGGCUGAGUACGCCUGAUCUCGUCCGAUCUCGUAAGCUAAGCAGGGUCGGGCCUGGUUAGUACUUGGAUGGGAGACCGCCUGGGAAUACCAGGUGCUGUAAGCU
ensembl:rRNA 5S_rRNA 5S ribosomal RNA